CCAGGACGAAGAGCCCACUCUCUUGGCGCGCGAAGUGUUUUUUCGAAGGACCCACUGUUGGUGCCACUCAACCCAGCUUCUGGGAGCGGAGACUCACUCUCCCUGAGAAGUGGACUAUGCUGGUGCCCUCCUCCACCCUCCCCAAUUCCGAAGCUGGAGACUGGUCCUCUCUUCAGUGCUUGGGAGGGUGAUCCAUGCAAGUACCCCAGGCACAGGAAGGUGCUGCCAGGGAAGAGCCUGACCUCAGGAGCCAUCUCUCUGCAGCCGAAGCCAACUGCUGAAACCCAUAGCCUGGGGCUGUCCACUAAACAAACUCCUCCCAGAGAGCUCACAAGCAUGGGAAAGGGACAGAGAGAGAAGGAGACCAUCUCAAGCAGGCUCCACACCCAGAUCAGAGCCCAGGGCUUGAUCUCAUUUCCCUGUGAUCAUGACCUGAGCCAAAAUCAAAAGUUGGAUACACCCAGGCCUCCCUUGUCAGUUUUGAUCUAGACAGCACCUUGGCACAUUUAUUGAUACAUUCCAAGUAAGAGUUGUAAUUUUAUUUGUUUUUUCUCUCUAUCCUUCAUCUCUAUUUCUUUUAAUUUCUACUUUAAUCUUUAUAAUUUCUUUUAUUUUACUUGCUUGGCAUUUAAUUUGCCUUCUUUUGCUAACUUCCUAAGGUGGGAGCUUUGAUCAUUUCUUUUUUCCCAAUAUAAGCACUUUAAGUUAUAAAUUUUCCUCAAUGCUUUAACCGCAUUCCACAAAUUUCAAUAUGUUAUGUUUUCAUUGGGUCUAAACUAUUUUCUCAUUUACCCUGUGAUUUCUUCCUCAACCCAUGGGUUAUUUUCUAGUGAGUCUUGCAAUUUCCAAAUGUUCUUUGCUUUUCUUGGAUAUUUUUGUAGGAUUUCAAUUGCUUGGAGUCUCUUAAGACUUGUUUAUGGCCUGCCAUAUGGUCUGUAUUGCUGAAUGACACAUGUGCGCUUGAAAAACGUGUAUUCUGCAGUCCUUGAAGAUAUUGUUGUAGAAAUGAAUGUGAAUUCAGGUAAAGGAUGCUGUCACUGUGACCUACCAUAUCCUUCAUAGUUUUGUACCUUGUUCUACUGUUUAAAGUCUGCAAUUAUAAUUGUGAAUUUAUUUAUUUCUCCCUUAAUUUUUCAGGUUUUUAUGUAUUUUAAAGCUCUAUGAUUAUAUGUAUAUAUAUUUAAAACUGCUAUAUCUUCCUAAUGAACUGACUCAUUAUUAUGGAGAGUCCCUCUUUGUCUCUAGGAAAACUCUUGGCUAUAAAUCUACUUUGUUUUAACUACACCCUGAACUUUUUUCUCUCUCAGUGGGGCUCUGCCUCUGUUUCUAUCUCUUUCAUUCACUUUUCUUGCAUUUUGUUUUUACACUUCACAAUUAUAAUAAUUAAGAAUCAAUCAGAAAUUAAUGGGCACCUGGGUGGCUCAGUUCAUUAUUAAGCGUCCAACUUUGGCUUCAGUCAUAUCUCAUGGUUCAUGGGUUUGAGCCCCACGUUGGGCUCUCUGCUAUCACCACAAAGCUGUCUUUGGAUCCUCCCUCUCUGCAUCUCCUGCACUCGUUCUCUCUCUCUCUCUCUCUCUCUCUCUCUCUCUCAAAAAUAA